UUAUAAAUAGAUUAGCAACAAAUACGAUGAAUAAGAAAUGUUUUGAAACAAAGCUUUUCCAAUCCUAACAAAACAUAGAGCGUAAUCAAGAAGGAUAAAUUAUAGUGCUAUACCAGGGAAACAGAGUGAUCUGAUUUUUUACUCAAAAUGAUGGAGAGAGCCAUGGUCUCUCUCCCCUACCCAAGCGCCUUUAAUCUCUCUCUGCAGCCCCAAUGCUGUACGCACUCUCUCUGUAGCUUAAGCCGUUGAAGACAUCUCAGUGAACAAGGAGGAUUUAGAGUUUGGAAGGGAGGGCGUCCACUUUUUCUUUUUUGGGUUGUGAGGGAGAGGGAGUUUUCGUGGCCUUUUGAAUCCAACUUAGGGCCAUCAACAUGCAUCGGAUAUCAAUGACCAUCAAGCAAUCUGUCGCUCAUGUAACUCUGUCUCUCAGGAAAUAUCCUGCUUCUGCUGCUGCUGCUGCUUUUCAUGGCUCAAUUUGCAGUCCGCUACCUCCUUUGGGAACUGACCUUGUCCAGCAAGGGUUGCCCUCAGAAGUUGUCAAAUGGACGUACCUUGGUGUCUGUAGAGCGUUGAGCUUUGCAACUGGAUAUUCAGCCCUUCAGCCCAAGUCCUUGGACUCCAUCAUCGACCUUCAGAGGGCUGAGACUUUAUCUUCUGAGGAUCUCAUUACCAUCUGGAAUGAGUAUCACUUGGGGCGAGGUCAUAUACACGCGUCCAUGAAGAGGAGCCUGUAUAAUUUGCUUGUGCAGCGAACCAAUCCUUGCCAGCACUUUGUAGUUCCUUUAUGGAGAGGAUCUGGAUACACAACCAUGUUUGUCCAAGCACGGUUACCCCACAUGCUUAUCACUGGUCUUGAGGACUACAAGGCAAGAGGAACGCAAGCUGCUCCAUAUUUGACAGUGACUUAUUAUACAGAAUUCGCUUCAAGCAAGGAUGUGGUGCUCAUACGUGGGGAUAUUGUGCUCCCUAGCAAGCUCGAGGACGAGGAGGGAAGGAGGCUUCUUGAGACCAUGCACUCAUUCUAUUUGAAUGAUGAGCGUUACAAAUUGGUCGAGCGUUUUAACAAAGACACUCAUGAAUUUGAGUUCAAGGAUGUCCUACGAGCACUGGAUAUACCUAUUGGUUGAUUGAUAGCUGGUUCUCAAUGUUUUCUCAGCAUGUAUUACAAUUUUGAAAGAUCAAAAUUGUUUUUGAUGUGGGAGCAAUCGAACUCAAAAGACUGCAAUUGAGAAAAAAUCGCUUUCCUGACUGAUUACUUGUUCUUUUUUGUUGGCUUUAUUUCUUUUUCUUUUUGAAUAGUUCUUUGGCGUUAAAUUUAUUUAUAGCUUUUCUUACAUUAGUUGAUCUCCCUUAUUUUUCUGUAGUGAUUGUGACCGGACUGAACCAGUAGUCCGACCGGUUGGACCGCUGACAAGUGCUUCGGUCAAUUUAGUCCAAAGGUGUAAUGGAGCAGCACACAUGGUCUUCACAAGUCCCCAUUAAUGGAGGGACAAUAUAUCUAGAAAGAGAUAUGAGGUUCUCUAAAAUUUAGAGGGGUUUAGGUAUGGCCCAGUAGCUUAGUGGCAAGGUCAAGAGUCUUCUUUAGGCUUGGGAAUAUGAUUGUUUUUCAUCAAAUCUCUUUAGGCUUGAGAAUAUGAUUGUUUUCCAUCUUCGUGUUCUCUCAUUUCUGUAUUUCUUCAACGAUGGUUUGCCAAAGCCUCACCCUUCAUUCACUAACCAUUUAGAGAGAGAGGACGAAGAAAGCACCAAAUUGGUCACAAGACACCAGUAGUUUCUUGUCCAUGCCGUUUUUUAUAUUCUCCAAGGGCCACAAACUCGGAGUCAAUGGCAUUUAUGAUCUUCACCUUCUUCGGCCCCUGCCAUCUUCACCUUCAAAUCCACAAUCACCUCCGUCUUCAUCUGAUUCAGGGCCUCUGAUAUCUCUGCCCUCAUCGCGUUCAUCACGGCUGCAGCUUCCUCCUCUUUUACCUCCUUUGAUGGCGAUGAUGGGGAGAGUGAGAUUAAAGUCGAAGACUAUAGCUUUCUCCAUUUCAAUGAGGGCAGGGCCAGCAGAAGUCGGUGCUGCUAAGACGGCGACCCUGCUAGUUUUAGUGAAUGGGUUUUUUAAUGUCAAUAACGAGGUUCAUCAGGAAAGAUAAUUUCCAUCAA